GUCACUGUGAUAAGUUUAGUCUACUGGAAAUUCCUAUGUUCUCUGUAAUUUAGGUUUUAAGCAACAUAUGAUUUAUCUUGUUAUUUAGAAAAAAACUAUCUGCCUUCCCUAAAUGGGUGACUCUCUGGCAUCCUUAAUAUUCUUCUAUAGAAAUUGCGAUGAAAGAACAGAUAAGCCUAAGUAAAUCUAGCGCGUGGAGCUCCUUUAAAAUGUGAAGAUUGUCAACUGGUUAAAAGUAAAACUUGAUUUUGUCCUAAAUAUCCUUGCUGGGCCUAUUAUGCAUUUAAAAAGGGGCCACAGCCCAUUUGCAAGGCUUCUGAAUGAACUCCAUUCAUUCUGUACUUGGAAAUGUCUCUUCAGCCACAAAAAGAAACAAUAGUUAUAACCUAAUUUCUUUGGCGCCAAUAUCAGCAGAAGAAGAGCCAAGAGACCAUUAUGAAAACUCUACCUCUCAAGCACUGUGAAUAAUCACUUGCUCUGGUUGUAUUCUUGGAGCCCCUGCUAAUCCAUUAUUGAAAAAUACCUGCGGCCUGCAUUUGGCCUUAUGUUGUCAUUUACUUGGGUCUGUGCAGCGUGUUUAGAAGCCUACACCUUAGGCUGGGAGUCAAGAAUGUCUUCCCUGAUGUGAGGUUUACACAGAGAUCUGAAGAAUGAAGAGUCCAGCUAAGUGAAGUGGGAGCGGAUUAAGGGAAUGCAAGAACAUGAAGGAGUGUCCUAUGCAGAGGGAACAACAUAUGCAAAGGCCCUGAGGUGGGAGUGAAGACGGAACUUUUGAAGAACUGAGAGAAGGUCACUGUGGAAAACCAGAUGCUGUGUGACAUGAAUAAUGCAACAGGGGAAAUUGAGAUAUUAGCAAAAGAAGGAUUGAUGACCCAUGGGCUUGAAGAUGUACUGGAACUAAAGUACUUCCUAAGGGUGGCUACUCCAAUGUAGCUGUAGUAUAUGUACUGAAGGAAGAUCCUCUCAUACUGCCACAGCCAACAGAUAAAGUUGUGAAUCUUUAUUGGGAGAAGCCGUUAAGGACAGGUCUGUGAAAUGGAAGGAUCUCUGGAUCACCACAAAGUCUGGCUCAGUGACUAUGGCUUUGCAAACACUAAACAUUCCUAUCUCAAGUCCUGUAGAUGGCUUUGAAAUAGCAUACAUAAGCAUGCCUUAUACAUAUCUUCAGUCUUAUCAACUCUUUGGAGAUUCAGCCAUUCUUUUUUGUACUUUAGGGAAUUAAAUAAUUUUAUAAUGUGGUAUAAAUCUGAGCAUGGCAGAUGGUAGAAGAAAUUUUGUCAUAUAUUUUUAAAGAAAUAAAAAUGUAUUAUGUUUUAAAA